rnacentral:rRNA from 1 species
GUCUAUGACUAUGCCACCCUGAACAAGCCCCAUGUCAGAUAUCAGAAACUAAGCAAGGUUGGGCCUGGUUAGUACUUGAAUGGGAGACCACCUAGGAAGACCAGGUGCUGUAGGCA